rnacentral:lncRNA from 1 species
AGGAGUAGGAGUGCUUGGUGGGUUCAGCACCGGAACCGGAGGAAGAAUGGGUGUCACACCUGGAAUCGGAGGAAGAGUGGGUUUCACAACCGGAGGGACAGUGAUUGGAGGAACUGUAACUGGAGGCACUGUAACCGGAGGCAAUAUCACUGGUGGUUUCACAAUAGGAGGCACUAUGCCUGGUGGCUUCACAAUAGGAGGCACUAUGCCUGGUGGCUUCACGGGCUUGCCGGGCUUUUUGCUGGGCUUGUGUUUCUUUGGGACGGGCUUACCGCAGGUGCCGCAACCGAGAAUGGGGGCGGCAGAGGAGAGGAAGAGCAUGCAGAGGAAGAGGUAAGCAUGGAUCUUUGAGGACUCCAUGCUUAUGGUUUCUCUCUUUGUGAGAAAGAGAGUGUGAAGAAUGAGAGAGUGUAGUAGUGAGAAUAUUGUGAAGGGUGGAAGAGGGGAUAUAUAGGAAUAGUAACGAGGAGAAGCAAACAAAACAUCACGUGAAGAUGGGGCUAUAGCUACAAUCUAAUGCCAAAUUUUGCAAGCUGGCAAAAUUAGCCUUACAAUUACAAGUGUACAUGAUGAAUCAAUUCUUAAUGUAUUUACAACAAGAUUUUAGAUCAUGUCGACCCAGAAAAUAAUGUGCUGAUGGGGUUAAUUAUAUUACUGCAUACUGCAAAAAUCAUAGCUUCUUCGGCCUUCUGUGCUUGUUAGAGUAAAGUGUAAAUUUGAGGGAAUUGAAGACUAAAGUACUUAACAGAAAAAGUACCAUUACUUGGGGAACAAAUUUGGGUCUAAUUACUUAAUUCGAUUAAUUAAAGUAUGCUGUAUAGAAGAAACAACAGUGAUUUUUAGAUAUCCAAAAGUACUUUUUUUAACCUGUCUUUAAGUUACUAAAGAAGUAUUAGUAUAGAUAAUCUACUUUUGUGAUCUUAUAAUGAGCAUGCGUGGUCCAUGUUAUUUGUUGGACUGAUUGCAACUUGCAAGUCACAUUACCUAAAUUGGUCAAGGAUUUAGAUAUUUCAAAGCUUUCUGUAUAUAGAUUCAAUAUUUUUGUUACUAUUGACAAAGCACCUUAGAGCAUCUCCAAUAAGGAGUUCUUAGUUUAUGAUUUAACUCACUUUUUGUGAGUUACUAUCAUGUAAGACUUAAGAUAUUCAUAAGAUUCUAAUACACAUUUUACUCCGAUAGUUGUCCUCUUAUUUUACUUUUGGUCGGAUCUACAAUACCUAAAUAUAUAUAUAAAAUUGUUAUGUCUAGUAUCUCUUAGACAUAAAAGAAAGGCGACGUCUAGUGAACCUCUAGUAAGAGGUUUCAUACCAAUUGGGGAAGAGUUUUUUUAUGAAGGGUGUUCCAAUAGUAGCAGUGUAAUUAUUGGAACACCCUAUAUAUAUAUUAUAUAUACAUAUAUAUAUAUAUAUAUAGUAUUUACCUUAAAUAACAUGAUAAUAAUCUAUUAACUUACUUAAUACGGGUACCACACCCAAAAAAAUUCAGGGUACCACAUAAUUUACUUCUUUAUUUUUCAUUUCUUGUAUUAAAUGAGAGAGAAAUAAUGAUAAUUUUAUUAAAGUUCUCACUUUUCAACGUUGCUGAGCUAAGACACGAAUCUUAACUUUAGUUAACAUAAAAAGUACCAUUAAUUGGAGAUCAAAAUUGGGUCUAAUUACUUAAUUAUAUUUGAUUAAUUAAAGUAUGAUGUAUAGAAGAAACAAUCACUACAAAAAAACUGUCAUUUAGUGGGGGGUUUUUAAUGGGGGUUUCCGAAACCCCCGCAAAUGUCGUUAACUUUUUAAAGUUAAGGGGGGUUUUACUAAACCCCGUAAUUAACUCGCGGAUUUUUUCUAAUUUUCCCUCGUUUAUUUCAGAUCCCUUUCCUAAUUACCUCUCUCUCUGCAACUCUCACCAUGAAACCCUAGAUCUAGCAACCGAUCGUUGUUUCUCCACUCUCUUCUCUCACCGAUCGUUCACUCUCUUCUCUCACGGAUUUUUGUUUUCGAGCGCAGAAUCAGUUCUUGAAGAGCGAUUGAGUUCGAUUCACUGCUCAACUGUUUCAUGGCUUCACUGCUCAAAGGUUGGUUCAUUCUUCUUCAACCCUCUUUCUUCGUCAAUCGUUCCUUCAAUUUCAGCAUUUUCUGUUCUCUGAUUUGGUUUCGCUGCAUGCGUUUUCGAUUCUCUCUGCAACCUUCGCUGUUGCUGUUGUAACAGUUUCGAAUCAUUUGAAAAUUGUUUGAUACUAUCUAUGGAAUUUUUAGCUUGCGUUGGGAGUAGAUACCUAAUUUUCUUGGUAUUUUUAUCCUGGUUUCUGAGGCAUACACACUGUUCGGUUAAUUGAUUGCCUGAAUUUAUAAGCAUAUUACCAUUGAAGUUUUAAUGCCUAUAAACUGUUCGACAAAAUUCCUGACUGGUUUUCUCUCUUUCCCUUCAUGUCUCCGUUGAGUUUUUUUGAUGCGAAUCAAGUCAGUAUGAUGCUUGCUGAUGGUGUUCCGAGAACGCUGAGAAGCUGGAUUGAAAUGGGACUCCGGGUUUGAACAAUCUAACUUUCCUUAUGCUAUGUCGAUUUGAUGGUUUUUGUCACUCGUAAUGGAACAUGAAAAUCUGAAUAUGCUAUGUCGAUUUGUCGCUUGAAUGAUUGUCAAAUCUUAAAUAGCUGAAAUAUUAGACUUGUGAGUUAACAUGUUUGCUUUGAUGAAAUCUGACAUAUCCUAUUAAUACUAUUACUCACAAAAUAAUGAGUACUGAAACUUCCACAUGGUGGAUAAACAGGUUCUUAGCUAUGACUUUGUCUAUUGGAAGCUUGGGUACAUCCAUUGUUUCUUCAUGAUAUAGUUUCUACUUAAAUUUCAUCGAGUUGAUUUGUCUUUCAAAGCCAAUAGCUUAUCGUUGUGACCACCAGUGCAUAUGGCACCAUACAUGAAUUUCCAUGAUUCCGUAGUUUCUUUUAUAGCAUUAGUAAAAAAUGUUUUAAUGUUGCUUACUUGGAUUCAGGUUAUGUACACUUAACCCUUGACAUGCAAUUAUUAGUAAAAAAUGUGAAACUGAGGCUGCGAGUCAGGUUAACUUCAUUACCUUCAUAAAACCUAGAGCAUAAAUUUCAUAAACCUGUUACAUGGAUGAUAUCACUUUGCAUUUUCCAUGUAACAACUAUGCAAUAUACACUAUUAUAAUGAGAUUCCUGAUGAUGGAACCACUUUAAGCUUAGUGGGACAAAUUUAACUUUAUCCUCAUACUUGCCUAAAAAAUGACAAACAAAUCAGCACAUGUUAGAGUAUAUAUGAUUUGGCUUCAUUUCCUAAUAUUCUCUCAGUUCUCAUUGCUUUGUGAUAGUAUGUGUGACUGCUUGGACUUGUUAACAAAUAAGUUGGAUGAACACAGCCAGGAUGAGGAGACGAAUGGAAGAUUGUCUGGUAUUAGUAUAUUCUCUUCCAGUACUGAACCAGCCUAUAUGGAUACUGUGUAUCCUGUUUUCAGGUGCUACUUCACUUUGUUCCAGUUUGCAAUUGCCAGUCUUCUAUUCCACAUCCUAAGUCCCUAACUCUGACCAAAGUACUACAUGUCAUUUAUAAAAGCGUUCUGCAAUUUAAAAACUGUUUUUAGUUCAAAUCGAUAAAUUAAAAAAAAAGUUUAAAAUGAACUCUUACUAAUUUUUCAGAUUAUAGAUGCCCUGAAAGUAUUGCUCAUGUGCCUAGUUAAAAAAUGAGAUAGACACUUUUCAUCAGCAAAUUAUAAAAUCUUACCUUAUACUAAUGUGUUAGUCUAGUGUGUAUGGAUUUCUAUGUAACUGAAUGAUGACAUCACCAUAAAUUUUUGUUAUGCUGAGUUAUCAAUUUGUUAGAGGCAGUUAGAUGGUUAGCUACUGUUGAAAACUUUAUAUAUGUUGUAAAUCACAGUGUUAAUUCAAGAGAAGAGUUCAUUCAGUUCACUCUAAACUUCUCUCUCUCUCUCUCUCUCUCUCUCUCUAUUUACUAUCUCACUAUCUAAUUCAUCUUGGAAGGAAUUGGAUGAGGGGCUCAUGAAGGUUAAGGAGAUGGAGAUGAAAGACUUUGAGAUGUUAGCCGAUAAGUUCAACGACCUACUACUUUCCUUGAUACAACAGACCAACGAUCUUAGUGGGAUAUGCCGCAAACACCGGUGAAGUCACCGGUUUUCCAAGUAUGGUUUUUACGACUAGUUUUCACAUAUCAGUUUCUGAAGAAUUAAUUAAUGGGUUAAUAACUCAUUCAAUAUUUCUUUUUCAUGUAUCUAGGGGUUGUGAAUGAAUGGAGAUAUGCUUAAGCUAGAUGGAUCGAAAGAGGAAACGAAAUGAAGUAUUCAAACUGCUGCUGCUGUAUUUUGGAAGAAACUCUCAGCAAAGUAUUUAUCUAACUCUUGUCUAUUCUGUCAAUAUAUGUAGGUAUUUAUUGGUUAACUUAGAUGAACUUGGUUUGCACAUGGUAGUAUAACAAAGAAAUGCUCUCUUACUGAGGUUCUGUACUUUUGCACAUUUAGUUGAUUUUGAGUAUUAUUACUAUCACCAAUUAGUUAAGUUGGUUGUCUAUCAUGAAGCUUGCAGACUUUUCCUAGAAGUAAGUAAGUAGACUUCUAGACCAUUCUAUGUUUCAAUUUUCAUGAGGGAUGAUAAGUUAUCUAGAGAUGCUAGAGGUCCCUAAUGACAUAGAAACAGUGUAAAUAAUCUCUUACAUUUAAGGGAGGUUGAAAACUCCCGUUAAAAAAUGCUUGCAGAUAAGGGAGGUUUAAAACCCCCGCUAAAAACCCCCGCUAAAUUUAUAUGCAUGUACCAGGGUUUGCUGAGAAACCCCGUUAAUGAUUUGUGGGGAGUGUAACUUCGGGAUUUUUCAAAACCCCCGCUAAGUAACUCGCGGGGGUUGAAAACCCCCACUAAAGGCAAAAAAACCCCCGCUAAAUAACGUUUUUUUUGUAGUGAAUAGUGACUGUUAGAUAUUCAAAAGUACUUUUUUUAAUCUGUCUUUUAGUUAUUAAUUAAAGAUUUGUAUUAUUUUAGUUAAUCUAGUUUCGUGAUCUUAUAAUGAGCAUGUGUGUGGUCCAUAUUUGUUGGGUUGAGUCUUAGAUUGCCGAAAGAUUUAGAGAUUCAAUGUUAUAAGUGGACUUAUAUCCUAGUUAUUGACAAAGCACCUUAAAACACAAGUUUAUAUGUGUUUUCUAUUUGUUUUAUGCUAUUGUUCUAAAAUAGUGAUGCGUAUGUUAAAUAUUUCUUUUGAAAAGUGCUAUGUAAUCAGGUUAUGUGGGGUGGUUGAGAGUGAAGUUCAUGUGUUAUAAAAAUUUACAUAGGUUUAGGUAUGUACCUGAUUGUGGGUUUUGACACAACAACGGAAAUUUUUCUCCGAUUUUAGAGUUUUUCAUGUUAUAUAUGUAUUCUCGUGAUGUGAUUGUAUUUUUGUUUUAAUUCCUUACAACAUGCUUUUUACCAAACAUUGGUAUUAAAGCUAAUGGUGUUACCCUAGUGAUUGACUUAUUUUAUCGAAAGUCUUUCUCAUAAAAAGGUGGCCACGCCAUAUUAAGUUGAUUUGUGGAGAGCCACAAUAGUACGUGAAGACUUCCACUUGAGAUACAUUGAAAAAAAAGGAAAGUAUUUAAAUAAGUGAGAUGACGCAUACACCUGAUACCUUAAAAUUUUAGAUGAAAAUGUAAUGUCUAAUUCACUUAUACUAUUCACUCUUUAUCUAAUAUGAAACUCUCGUCUAAAGUUCGAGUUUUUAGGUUAGCCUAAGGUCAAACCAUAUAGGCCCACUCGAAGUCAUUGCCAUGAUGCUCAUUGGUAAAAGUUCAAAGUACUCAAGGUUGAGAGAUACAAGCCCA